rnacentral:lncRNA from 1 species
UAUUAGUCCAUUUUCACACUGCUAUAAAGAACUUCCCAAGACUGGGUGACUUACAAAGGAAAGAGGUUUAAUUGACUCAAAGGUCAGCAUGGCUGGGUAGGCCUCAGGAAACUUAGAAUCAUGGCUGAAGGCUAAGGGGAAGCAAGGCACAUUCUUCACAAGGCAGCUGGAAGGAGAAGUGCCGAGCAAAGGGGGAGGAGCCCCUUGCAAAACCAUCAGAUCUCCUGAGAACUCACUCACUAUCACAAGAACAGCAUGGGGGAAACUGCCCCCAUGAUUCAGUUACCUCCACCUCGCCUCUCCCUUGACUUGUGGGAAUUACAAGGAUUAUACUUCAAGAUGAGAUUUGGCUGGGGACACAAAGCCUGAGCAUAUCACUAUCGCUCUCAGUCUUGUCCGACUGGCCUCGUGUAGGAGAAGGCUCUCACCUAUCUGUCUGACCAGAGAUUUUAAGGCUAACACUCCUUGUUCCUGUGAACCAACCAGCAAUCUCCAGCUGCAGCUCAGAAAGAAGGAGAGGAUGGGCCAUCAAACUCCAAAUGGUCGUGCAACCGGAGCCUCGGAAGAUGGCGCCUUCUGCCGGGAACCCUUAGAUAGGCUUCUGAGGGAGCUCUGACUGCCGUUUCCCAAAACACCGCUCCCUGUUAGCAGGAAGCAGUUUAGAUCGGUCUUCGUCCUCACCCCUAUCCUUGUUCUAACAGUAGUUUGAUGUACUUCUUGAGAGGGGGGAAUGAGACAGCCAAGUGUAAAGGGGUCCCCAGAGAACCUCUGACAAACCCGCACACUGGGAGGAAUGUGCACUGGGGUGGAGCCUCUGGAAGUUCGUGCUGAGGAGCCUGGCCCCUCCUCUUCCAGGGUGGAACCUGGGAUUCAACCUGAGAGGUGGGAAGCGUGUACUAGCAGGACUCUCACUCUGCCGAGGGUCCCCGUUUCCCCGCUUUUUUUUUUUGCCCAAUAAAUUCCAUUUUUCUCACCCUUCAAAGUGUCUGCAAGCCUAAUAUUUCAUGGCCAGGUGACAAGGACCCUGUCUUUGGCUGAACUGAGGAGAAACUCCUACAACAUUACCAUCCAGCAAUUCCUAUUUUUUUUUUUUUUUUUUUUUGAGACAGGGUCUCACUCUAUCAACCCAGGCUGGACUGCAGUGGCACAGUCAUAGCCCACUGCAGCCUCUACCUCCUGAGCUAAAGAGAUCCUCCCAUCUCAGCUUCCUGCAUAGCUAGGACUACAGGCGUGGACCACCACACUGGGCUAAAUUUUUUGUAUUUUUAUGUAGAGACGGGGUUUCACCAUGUUGCCCAAGCUGUUCUAGAAUCCCUGGCUCAAGUGAUCUACCUGCCUUGGCCUCCCAAAGUGCUGGAAUUACAGGUAUGAGCCACCAUGCUUGGCUUCCAACCAAUAUUUUAAAGUUCAUGAUGGGAAUGGAGUUUGUCUCAGAUGAUAGAUUUUUAUGGAGCCACAUGCCAAUUUCCUUAGAAUACUUUCCCUCAUGGAUACACCCCACAGAAACUCAGAAUCAUCCCCUCAAUUCUUAUCCCCCCUCAUGCCCAUUUACAAUUAAUCCCUGUUGUCACUUCCAGCCCCAGGCAACUACUAAUCUACUUUCUGCCUCUAUAAAUUUGCCUUCCCUGCACAUUUCAUGUAAGUGAAAUCAUGCCACAUGAAGCCUCUUAGGUCUGGCUUCUUUCACUUAACAUAAUGUUUUUGACGCUCAUCCACGACAUAGCAUGUGUCAUCACGUUUCAUUGCUGCACAGUCUUCUAUUGUAUGGAUUCACCACAUUUUGUCUAUCUACUCACCA